AAGGAAGGAAGGAAAGAAGAAAGGAAGGAAGAAAGAGAAAAGAAGAACCGAGGAUGGUUAUUGAAUUUUGUUACAUUUUUCUCAAUCUAUAGUUUUUAUCAUCAGCUUCUGUCUUUUUGUAUGUGUGUGAAAAAGAGUUUUGCUUUCAUUUUAAAAGAUACUUGAAAUUCUAGUGUGACAGUUUUACCCUUUAAUAUUUUAAUUGGCAAGUAAAAAUUGCAUAUGUUUAUGGUAUGCAUGAUGUCUUGUUAUGUGAACACUGUGGAAUGGCUAUCUCAAGCCAUUAUGUGCCUGCCUCACGCACUCUUGUUUUCAUAUAUGCAGAGUAAUCACUGAGCCUUCUCUUAGGGACGUCAUUUGUAAUACACUGUUCAUAACUGUAGUCUCUGUGAUGUUCGCUCAUAUCUUGAACUUGUUCCUCAUACCUCGCUAAAUUGUUGUGUCCUUGACCAAUGUCACCACAGUUUCCCUCCACCCAAGCCUGUUGUAACCACUGUUACCCUCUUCUUCAGUGAGUUUGAAUGUCCCUCAUAUGGAUGAGACCAUGAGUAUUUGUCUAGCGUGGCUUGUUUUAUUUACUGUGCCAUCUUCCAGGCUUGCUCAUAUCACAAAUGACAGAUCUUUUUUUUUAAAGCUGCAUUGUACACAGACACACCACACUUUCUUUAUCCAUUCAUCUACUGAUAGACACUUAAAUUGAUUCUAGAACUUGGUUCUCGCAAAUAAAUAUAACUGCAACCAACAUGCAUACAUGUAUGGUCUGAACCCUUUUUGGUAAAUGUACAGAAAUAGGAUUGCUGGAUUAUAUGAUAAUUUUGUUCUUUGUUUUUUGAUGAAUACCUAUAGUUUUCCAUAAUAGUUGAACUAACUUACUUUCCUACCAACAGUAUACAAGCGUUCUCUUCCCCACAUUUAUGUUUUCCGGGUCAACACUUUUCUUUCAUCUUUUUUAUAAUAACCCUUUUAAUUAGUGAGAGUUCGUAUCUCAUUAUAUUUUCCCAAUAUCCAAAUAUGGUUAAUGGGAGAUUUGGGUAGAUUUUUAUUUUAAUUAAUUUUUGUUUGUUUGUUUAGCUUACUUUAUUUCCUUUGGUUCAUAGAUGACAAUAGAGAUUUCUUUUGUGUACUUGACUUCCAAGGUUAUAGUUGAAACUUUAAAUUUAACUUUAAAUUUAUCAACAUACGAAUAGCAAUAUUAAUCAUAAAAUCUCACAGAAUUUCUGUACAUGCAUAUACUUAUUCAUGCAAUUUGAUCAUGAUCUGUCUUGACGCUGUCAUAUUUUCUCAUGUUUCUUGUAGUUGAAGCAUAUUGGAUACUUCUUAAAUUUAGAAAUAUUUUAGUUAUACUUUCAUCAAUAUUUUGUGUCUUCCCUUGACCUACCUCCUUUAUUCACACACUUACUGGUCUGUCUGAGGUUGUCCUGUGGACCAGUGAUGCACUCCCUUUUCUCUUGAAGCCUUUAGUUCUUCUGUGCUUCAUGGUGAAUGGCUUCUAUUUCUGCAUCUUCAAAUACCAAUUGGCCUUUAAUGUCUAAGCUAGUGUGAAUCUUGUCCAGUGCAUUUUACAUCUUUGAUGCUUUUUACUUCUUCCAUAUUUAGAAGAUAUUUCAGGUGUGGACUUGAAAUAGGGUUUUACCUUAUCUCAGGCUCCUUCUUUCAGCUUCCUGAGUAUUGGAAUUGUAGGUGUGGCCCAAAGGUGUCUAGCUAGAAAUGCAUUUUGUAGAAGCAUCUUCAUUAUCUUUGCCUAAUAUAUUGAAUGUAUCUCUAGUGUAUGUUUCCUUUGUCUAAAUAAUCAUUUAAACGUUAAUUUUGUAAACUAUUAUUUGUAAUAUUAAUAGUAUUAAUUUCGUAAAAUUAAUGAUAGGGGUGAAAGAUUUAGAGAGCCAGAGGAAUAGGAAGUUUGCUGUGAGACUGUGUCUCCUAGAAAUGUCAGAAGCUACUCCCGUGAAAUCUCAUCAACAUGAUUGCCAAAACAAGCCCUUCACUACAGAGACACCAAUGGACAUGCUGUCACGGAAGGAGAAAGCUUGUGGGACCUUCACCCUUCUUUCUGAAGUACAGAGUGUAGUGUAUGCUGGCAGAUGCUCUACUGCUGAGCUGUAUUCUCAGCCCCUUUCUCACAUUCUGAAUAUUUGGAACACAGUCACCACACCUAUUCUAUUAACCUUCCUUAUUAAAGUUAUAAUUUAGAUCAUUUUUAAGUAAUUUUGAACAGAAUUUAUUUCCCUGCUCACUUUUUUAAAAAAAUUGAUUCUUCAUGUUCCUGGUCAUUUUCUACUAGAUGCACACCAGUCAUUCUCUCUCUCUCUCUCUCUCUCUCUCUCUCUCUCUCUCUCUCUUUUCUCUCUUUGAGACAGGGUUUCUCAAUGUAGCUUUGGAGCCUGUCCUGAAACUCACUCUGUAGAUCAGGCUGGCCUCAAACUCAGAGAUCCGCCUGCCUUUGCCUCCCAAGUGCUGGGUUUAAAGGUGUGCACCACCACUGCCUGGCAGUUGUUUUAUCUUAAAAGGUGGUACAUAGACAUUGUUCUGGAGUAGGACCAAGUAUUAAGAAGCAAACUGAUGCUUCAGAUCCUGAUUUAGUCUUUGUUCAGCAGGAUCAGGACAGUGUUUAGCUCAAUUUUCAUUUCUCCCCACAACUGAGACUAGAAUGUUUUCAUUACUAGCCUCACCCCCAAGAGUUAUGAGGUUUUCCAUUCAGGAUGAUGGGAACAGUCACUGUCCUGGCUCUCUGUGCAUACUGGGACAGUUAAGGUAGUUAACUAUAUGUUUGGGCACUUCUUAGCUGAAACCUUGCUGAAGACUACAAAUCCCAGACGCUCUCACUGGCCAUCUCUCUUUCUCCUUUGGCUCUCUAUUCUGAAAACUUUGAUUACAUUGGCUUCCCUGGACUCCCGUGCCUCCUCCUGGAAAAGCCACCAGUACCCUACCCUGCCUUCCUCAGUGUGCAGCUGGGGGCAACCGUGGGGGUCACCUAGCUGAUCCUAUAGAGAACACUGUCCUCUGCCAAUUAUUGCCACUGUCACAAAAGCUAGUAUUACAUGUAUUUAUCCAGAGUUUUACAUAGGAAGAUAAACCUAGUCCCCUUAUUCCAUGAGCACAAGGAGUAGAAGUCUCAUCAGAUGGUUUUUAACCAUUUGAAUAUAGUGUCCAAGGCAAGGCCCAGGAGAUGCUCUUUGCUAGGCUGUUCAAAUUACUUCCCAGAUAAUAAUUAAUGGUGAUGUUCACUGCUCUAGUUACAAAACUGAAUAUGCCUCACCUCCAUUUUUUGUUCUAACUUGUGAUUUUAUAAUACAUAAUGUUUUUUAGUAGUAUAUUCCAUAAUUGUGAUACAGUCAGCUUGUAUAAUUGAAGAACUUGACCAACGAUUUUUAUUUUAUAAAUUAUAGUUUGAGAGCUUGAAAACAGAACCUAACUCAUGCCAAGUUUAUGCCAUACUGCUGAGCUGUACUCCCAGAUUUAAGAACAUGUACAAUUUCUAUAUAUUAUUGAUAAUACACUUGGAGAAAAUCAGAGAAUGUAUAAGGACAGAUAUUUACUGACAUUGGAUCCUUUGAGGAAAGCUUUUGUUCUAUGUCAGUAAUUCUUCAUUUUUGCUUCUGGAAUGGAACAAAACUCAUCAAACUCUUGGUCCUGCCCACCUAGAUCCUAAAGUCUGAAUUCAGCCCUCUAAAUGUGCAGUGGCUGCUAACAGCAUUACUUCUGCACUGUUUUUCUGUGAGACUUUGUCCCUCUUUGCAUAUAAGGGAAGAAAUGGAGGGAAACUAAACAAGAUGCUUAAGAUGCCAGAGCUGCUGUCUGGUUCAGUCGGGAUUUCAGAUCCAGAUCUGCUUGGGGAAGAGUCUCAUGUGCCUCAUCUAGCUUUCCUCUGGGUUGUGAAACCUGGCCAGCUAGUCACACAAUUAUUGUAUGGGACACAGGAAGCUUUGUGAUGCUUUUCUCCUGCAGGGACUCCCUUAGCUGUUCAUCUGCUCAACGAGAAGAAAACAAAAGUCGUUUAGGACAAGACUGUUGAAUGUAUGUCAGAGUUGGUUGAUAACCCACCUGGGGUGUUUUUAAUUUGCUCAGGGAUCAGAUUUGAGCUCAGACAUUCCACAUGGCUGUAUUCCGCCUGAAGAGAAGAAUGGGUUUUAGUCAGUAAACUACAGUAAACUCAAAAUUUGCCUGAACCUAUUUCCUUAUGACUUUCUGUCCAAAGCACACUCCAGUUCCAGCAGUCAGGAGGGAAACAUGCUUCCCUUGGAGGCUCUCCACAGCUGUGCAUGGCUUCUCCUAGAGAAGGUCUAAACUGAAUGAAAAUUUGAUGAAAAGUUUUGAUCUCAAACAAUCUUCCUAAUAAUUUUGUGGUAUAGGUCAAGCAGGCACAUUCCUUGAAAAAGAGAUGAUAAAGUUAUACUGAGCCCACAAUGGUCCACACUGGAGAUAUCCCUUGUGUGAGACCUCCAUAAACAGAGAGCCAAUUUCACGUUACUGGGCGUAAAGUCUGAGCCUACAGGCAGGAGCAGGGGACUUGUCAGUGGAAGAAGUCAAAAAACUGCCCAGAUUGUCCCCAGCAGGGGAAGGGUUCAUCUCAGCUGCCUUAAGAUUGGACCAAGGCUUAGCAUCAGGUCAUUGGUGCCUAUCACUGGGGCAAAGAAGGAUUAUUUUUAUUAAGUUUUCAUGUUUGUGUAGGAGCUUUCGGUCAUUAAUCAUCUAACUCUUGGGGCUCAUGGGACUUUUGCAAUGGGAAAGAAAUAACACCAUCUAGUUUACAGCUACAGACUUGGAAGCAGCACCAUCCGCUGCUGUUAGAUCUAAGGAGCCGAAGCCAUCCAUACCCAAGAAUCUGGGGAGCCAGCCCAGGAGGUCCGCGGACUUCUGUUCCACACUGAAGUGAGGUGUACUGUUUUGAUACAAAAUUAGCUGAUUUCUUUUUCAUUUUUUAAGGCAACAUGAUAGAUGCUGAGUUGUAUCGAAGUAAAAAAGAAACAAAAACCUUUCUUCAUUUCAGACAUUUUCUGGUUGGGAAUUCUGCUGCUGGGUCCUCACAAUGUUUUGAAAUCGAAAUGUGCAUUUAUGGAGCAAAGAUUAUAAGGCAUUGCUUGCUGAUCCCAUCUUCUCAGAAGAAUGAGAACAUGAGCAAACAUUCUGUGUGGGGGUUGGGAGCCUACAGUAAACAAAGGACUAUGAGAGAAUUGCAGGGAAGUUGUGAGGCCCACCACUAAUCUGGUGGCUUCCUGGAGAAAGUGUGUUUUGAAGUUCAGUUAAAAGAUGCCUAAAUCGCUGUAGCUUAAAAAUCCUUCAAGCCAGAUCCUGUGAAGUAGCUUUCCUAUUUCUGUCUACGGGCUAUAAACACCUGAAAGUAUUACAAGAUGGGGGAAUGUCCAGAGAAACUUGCAAGCACAUGUAUCAGAGGAAAGAAGAGAACUCCGACAGUGAGAACUUUAAGAUCUAUCAACUGGCUGGGUUUGGUAGCACGUGCUUUUAACCCCAGCACUCAGCAGGCAGAGGCAGGAGGAUCUCUGUGAGUUUGAGGCCUGCCUGAUCUACAAAGGGAGUUCCAGAACAGCCAGGGUUGUUACAAAGAGACACACUGUCUCAAACCAACCAAUCAACCAACCAACCAACAAACAAAGAAACAUCUAUCAACUGUGAAGCAGACUGACUAUUGGAGGCAUUUGGGGGCUUGUGUUCAGAAGACUCUCUGAAACCAGUGAUUUGUCCGAAGUCAGAGAUGAAGUACAUCCUCUCCAGCAGUGAUGGAUCUAAAUUAAACUGACGAGAAGGAAAUCCCUUCUGGGAAUGUCAGACUGUCCUUCCCCUCCUCCUCUACAAAGGAGACAGAAGACUAAGUUGGUGAGCAAGUCAAACCUGCCUCAGGGCUACUCCACAUGCUUCUGGGCUGAGGCACCAUGGAGGCUGAUGAAGGCAGAAUUUGGGAAAAUGGGGUUCAUGGUGCGCUGGUCAUUCCAGAAAUGUAACCCCACAGAAAUGUGCUGCCCUGGCUCUGGAAGACCAGUAAAACAAAUAAAGCUGCUGCCUAUUUGGAGCACACGCUGGCCCCUUCCACAUCUGCAGGACAUUUAGCUCCUUGCAUCUGGUAGUGUUUGUGCAAAUAUAAUUCCAUAUUCACUAAUAAUUCCUGGGGCUAAAGUCCCCCCCCCCACCACACACCCGUAACCUUGUUAAUAUUCUCUCAAGGCCUGGU